rnacentral:rRNA from 1 species
AUUGAACGCUGGCGGCAUGCCUUACACAUGCAAGUCGAACGGCAGCGGGGGAGAAGCUUGCUUUUCCUGCCGGCGAGUGGCGAACGGGUGAGUAAUACAUCGGAACGUGCCAUGUAGGGGGGGAUAACUAGUCGAAAGAUUAGCUAAUACCGCAUACGACCUGAGGGUGAAAGUGGGGGACCGCAAGGCCUCAUGCUAUAGGAGCGGCCGAUGUCUGAUUAGCUAGUUGGUGGGGUAAAGGCCUACCAAGGCGACGAUCAGUAGCUGGUCUGAGAGGACGAUCAGCCACACUGGGACUGAGACACGGCCCAGACUCCUACGGGAGGCAGCAGUGGGGAAUUUUGGACAAUGGGCGAAAGCCUGAUCCAGCAAUGCCGCGUGUGUGAAGAAGGCCUUCGGGUUGUAAAGCACUUUUGUCCGGAAAGAAAUGGCUCUGGUUAAUACCUGGGGUCGAUGACGGUACCGGAAGAAUAAGGACCGGCUAACUACGUGCCAGCAGCCGCCGUAA